rnacentral:tRNA from 1 species
GGAGAGAUGGCUCAGAGGUUAAGAGCACUGGCUGCUCUUCCAUGGGACCUGGGUUCAAUUCCCAGCAUCUACA